GUUGUUGUGGUGUAGUGGUUAUCACGUCAAUCUUACACACUGAAGGUCUCCAGUUCAAUCCUGGGCAACAACA
rfam:Ipomoea nil DNA, scaffold: scaffold1074, cultivar: Tokyo-kokei standard.